AUACAAAGUUUUAUGUGUGCUUCUAGACCAUUUUCUACUUCCAUCAGAGGGAAAAUAAUAUAUGCUGUUUUUUUCAUAGUUCGUGCAUCGUGGACGGAGUGAUGUUUUACUGUAAUUAUUAUUUAUUUUAAUGCAAAUGAAGAUUUAUUAUUCAUCUACCUUGGUAGAAUUCUUUGUUUAGGUAACGGAUGUGUUUGCGUGCUUAGGAAGUGUAUUAGGUGAGACCGUGCUCCUAUGAGACGAGCCAUAUUUUUAUUUAUAUAUAGAUGUUCAAGAAUACCUCACCCGUUAUGCUGUCACUUCAUACGACACAUAUACACAGAUAAAUAGAUGCUUGAAGCCAUGAACAUAUUUGUAUCCAUAGAUACUCUAACGUGUGCUUUUAACUCUUCAUAUUCACAAGCACAAACAUCUUAUUGGUCAUGAUCUUUUUAUGUUUUUAUUGUAAAUUUUUGGUAUGCCGAACAUUUUCAUCAAAUAGUUAUUGUGAAGAAUAGAAGUAUCUAUCUCAAUGUCAAAUACUUAACCAAAAAUGAAAUAGCAAAUUUUGCAACACUUAUCAUGUUAAAUCAGAUAUUUUCAAUUUUUUUCUUUAAAUUAUGUAAGUUUGUGACUCUUUAUGAAUUCUAUAGGAUGUAAAUUGUAGUGUCCUAUAAUCUAUAGUGCGUUGGAAUUUAUGUCUUAGGAGAAUUGAUCGCUUUCUUUUUCUUUCUAAGCCAAGGAAGUUACAAAAAUUAAAAGGGAUUUUUUUCUAAAAUACCCAACACUCAUAUAGAAUCAAGUCUCACAAUAUACUCCUAAUUGAUAGAAUGAGAAGCUUUAAACACUAGACCAUGUUGCUUAAUAAAGCCACUUGUUGGUAACCAAUUGUUGUAAUGAAACCCACAUUUGCUGUGCUUAUGAUACUGCUGCACAUGUUGAUACUCAUCUACAUGCUAAAUUAUAAGUCUUCUUGUUCUAUCUUAUUUAGGGUUGCUGCAUACUUCUCAUAUUUGAUAUAAAUGUAUUCUGACAUGACUGUAUGGAUUGAUUUUUUCCAUAGCCC
rnacentral:lncRNA from 1 species